rnacentral:lncRNA from 1 species
AAAGACCUAAAACACACUCACCUAUAAACCCUAACUAUGGACGCCUCUCCCUCUACCAGACUAACCCUAUCUUACUCUUCUACUGGUGAUAAUGAAGAACACAAUCAUCCAACAUUUGAAGUGGUUAUGACUGAUUCAUACAUCAACUACGACAAUCUGGUAAAUUAUUAUGUCCUUUAAACUUUAUUUCUUUUAAUUUUACAAUAACUUCUUGAGUUAAUCCUAACUGAAUUUUUUUACAUAAAAUACUUUUGUUUCUUAUACCUUAACUCGAGAAAAAAUAUAUAUGCAUCAGUAUUGUGUAUAUAUAUUUUCUUGUUUCAGUUUCAUAUUUUUCGAAAAACUUAAUAGUAAUAUUUUUUGUUUUUCUUUUUUUAGUAUAUUCCAAGAAAAAUCUACAAGCAUCUUCCUCCAAAUAGUGGCUUGUAUCUAUGAGCAUUGGUGAUCGAAGAAGGUUCAAAGUAGGCUGAAAACUUUUUGUUUUGGAUAAUUAUGUCAAGCGAGGUUUCGUUGUCAAAUUUGUGUUAGUUGAUGUUGCACCACUGUAUGUUGUCUUCAAUGUUCAAGUGAAGGGAGAAGGAACUUCUGAUCAUAAUCCGAUUGAAAUUGAUUAGUUUCUAGGAUGUGUUUGUGUUGAUUUAUCCUUUUAUUAUCUUUUAUUUUCAUGUUGUUUUAGUUAUGGUAGUUGUGCUUUUGAUUUUCUGUUAAACUAUUGAUGUUAUGAAAUUUCAAUCUUCAUCACAUUUUUUUUAGUUAAAAGGAACUUUUUUUGAGAACUUCACAAUAAACUCCUCUUAGACGUCGUACUAGCAAGAGUAGAUGAAAAAACCCAAAUUGCAUAAAAAGAGAAAAGUACCCCCACAAAUCAUUAUUACAUCACCGUAAUCUUAAUACUAAGCCAUUUUCUUCUCAUUAAUCAGUUUUCUAAUUAAUACUCCAUCAAACAGUAGCUAUUGGGGCAGAGUUGAUAGCAGUUUCCACAACCUUCAUUGCUUCAAACCUUGGCUCCUUAACCUAGAAUUUAAGACCUGCAUAUAAUUUCAUAUAGUCCUCAAAAACAAACUUGGGAUAAAUGGCUUUGUUCUCUUUCUCCAACAAUUCUGGUGAUGGAUAGAUGAGAUCAUCACUCCCUGGGUUAUAGAAGGAAGCAAUGGACAUUCUGUUUCCAUCAGGCUGGGCAAUCACCCUAUGCUCCACACUCUUGUACUUUUCAUUAGUAAUCACCUCAAGUUGGUCGCUGAGGUUGAUGACAAUAGAGUGGCACAUUGGUGGAACGUCGAUCCAUUUGUCAUCUUUGAGUAGUUGGAGACCACUGACUUUGUCAUCUUGGAAUAGAAGGAUGAUUCCACCAGCAUCAGUGUGAGCCCUGAGGCCUUUAAUCAAAUCAGGCUUGGGACACGGUGGGUAGUUGCUAACUUUGGUGCCAAAAAUAGGACCCUUUGAACCAUAAAAGGCUUUCUUCAGGUAACCUUGCUCCAGUCCAAGAUUUUCACAGAGCAAGUCCAAAAGUUGCUCUGCUAGUUUCUCUAGCUUUUCAGCAAACUUCUUCAUGAUUUUUCUGUAUUCAUCUUUAAGAUCAGGAAGUUGUGAGAUGUUUGAAAGAGGAAGGUGUUUCAAGAAGAAAGUGCUUUCCCAGUCCAAAUCCUUAAUUUCAGUCCGAAUAGCUUCAAGCCCUUUACUUGCCACAAUUUCCUUGAACCUUUGUUCCAUACACUUGUUGUAGUGCCCCUUUGUCAACUUCUCCAUUGUGUCCAUGAAACACCCUGGAAAAAAAAUUCGAAGUACUUAAGCGCUAUUAAGAAAGUUGAUGUGCGCUAAAUAUAUGAUUUUGGGUGCAGAAAAGGACUAUUAUAUGAAUGAUAUCGAUUGAUCAUGAUAAUAUAUGUAUGAGAUGCAUUAAGAAUGGUUUAUGGUCUAAGGAGAGCCCUAAGUCUAAGUCAAGUUACAAAUUUCAUAAUAGACUAAAGUUUCAAGUGAGUUCGCACAAGAUCUAACUUUAAAUGAUCAUAACUCUCAUGAUACAAAGUGUUAUAUAGUGUAUUACCUAUCAAAUGAAAGAUAUUUGAGUCUGGUUUAUAACUCUUAAACUGUUUGUCAUUUUGACACUCCUACAAGAAGUUAUGACCAAAUUACCAAAGGCUAAAAAAAUACAAUUCUGCGACCAAUUCUGCGAUCGCAAAAUCGUUAUGCGAUCGCAAAACUAUUUUUGCGAUCGCAAAACUGUUUUUGCGAUCGCAAAACUGGUCGCAGAAUGACCAGAACAGCCCAGUUCUGGGCACCGAUUUUGUGAUCAAUUGUGCGGCCCGCAUACCCAUUCGGCGGUCCAUUAUGCAACCGCAGACCUGAUUUCGGAGGGUUAAUUUUUUUAUUUUUAUAACCCGACCCCAUUUUGAUAAAUAGGCUUUGAGGCUUAUUUUGGGAUAAUUAUCUGAAGAUUUUAGAGAGAAGUGAAGAGUGUUCUAGAGAGAGGAAGUAGAUGAAGUGUCUUGUUCAUCAAAUUCUUGUCCAAGCCUUGAAAUCCAACAAGAAAAUCCCUCAAGUUCUUCAUCAAAGAGGUAAGGUUCCAUACCCUAGUUUUCAAUUUCGGGAUUUAGAUUAAAAGUAGGUCAUAAAAAGUAUGAUUCUUGGGCGUGAGAGUACUAUUUAUACAUGCAUGGAUUUAUUAUGGAAAUAUGAGUAUUAAUCAAAUAUUGAAUCUCAUGGUAUAAUGAUUGGAAGCCAUAAAUUCUCAAUUUAAAUAAAUACCCAUCGUAGAAAUUGAAAAGUGAUUAUUUGAUGGAAUUUUGUUGGUUGGGUAAGAAUGGUUGGUCACACGUGUGAUGUUAGGAUUAUAAGUUGUUAAAUAAUGAUGGUGGAAUGAAUUAUUGGUAAAUGAUGGUAGUUGAAAGAACUAAUUCUAUGGUUAAGAAAUGUAUAAAUGUAUGCCCACUAGGUGUUUGGUAAAUUAUCUAAAUAGCCUAAACUAUGGAAUUGGUUACUAAUGUUGGUUCCAUUGGAUGUUAAUAUUGUAGAUUGAAGUUUCUUAGUAUAGUAGAUCGUUGUAAUAUCAUUAAGGGGUGAAUUUCAGUUUCAUAUCGUUGGCAUUGAAUUCAGGAGACAAGAAGGCAUUUAGAGGCAGAUAAGCACGGAAUGGAAUUUCUUGAGUAUUGAUUAGCUUGCUCGAUGUUGGGUUCAUCUUGUUGAGGUAAGUAAUACUUCUACACUUGGAGCUGAGGGUAUGAACCCUGAAUAUACGUAUUAUGUGAUUUGGUUGGAGGUGAUGCACAUGGUAGGUGACGGGUGUG